rnacentral:rRNA from 1 species
GUGAGGAAUUUUCCGCAAUGGGCGAAAGCCUGACGGAGCAAUGCCGCGUGAAGGAUGAAGGCCUAUGGGUUGUAAACUUCUUUUCUCAGAAAAGAAUUAUGACGGUAUCUGAGGAAUAAGCAUCGGCUAACUCUGUGCCAGCAGCCGCGGUAAGACAGAGGAUGCAAGCGUUAUCCGGCAUGAUUGGGCGUAAAGCGUCUGUAGGUUGUUUAAAAAGUAUUCUGUCAAAGAUUAGGGCUUAACCCUAGAUAGGCAGAAUAAACUUUUAAGCUAGAGUUUGGUAGAGGCAGAGGGAAUUCCCGGUGGAGCGGUGAAAUGCGUAGAUAUCGGGAGGAACACCAAAGGCGAAGGCACUCUGCUGGGCCAAUACUAACACUGAGAGACGAAAGCGAGGGGAGCAAAUGGGAUUAGAAACCCUUGUAGUCC